CAGUCGAACGAAGCACUUUAUUUGAUUUCCUUCGGGACUGAUUAUUUUGUCACUGAGUGGCGGACGGGUGAGUAACGCGUGGGUAACCUGCCUUGUACAGGGGGAUAACAGUUGGAAACGGCUGCUAAUACCGCAUAAGCGCACAGCAUCGCAUGAUGCAGUGUGAAAAACUCCGGUGGUAUAAGAUGGACCCGCGUUGGAUUAGCUAGUUGGUGAGGUAACGGCCCACCAAGGCGACGAUCCAUAGCCGACCUGAGAGGGUGACCGGCCACAUUGGGACUGAGACACGGCCCAAACUCCUACGGGAGGCAGCAGUGGGGAAUAUUGCACAAUGGGGGAAACCCUGAUGCAGCGACGCCGCGUGGAGGAAGAAGGUCUUCGGAUUGUAAACUCCUGUUGUUGAGGAAGAUAAUGACGGUACUCAACAAGGAAGUGACGGCUAACUACGUGCCAGCAGCCGCGGUAAAACGUAGGUCACAAGCGUUGUCCGGAAUUACUGGGUGUAAAGGGAGCGCAGGCGGGAGAACAAGUUGGAAGUGAAAUCCAUGGGCUCAACCCAUGAACUGCUUUCAAAACUGUUUUUCUUGAGUAGUGCAGAGGUAGGCGGAAUUCCCGGUGUAGCGGUGGAAUGCGUAGAUAUCGGGAGGAACACCAGUGGCGAAGGCGGCCUACUGGGCACCAACUGACGCUG
rnacentral:rRNA from 1 species